rnacentral:rRNA from 1 species
UACGUAGGGGGCAAGCGUUGUCCGGAUUUAUUGGGCGUAAAGAGCUCGUAGGCGGUUUGGGAAGUCAGGUGUGAAAUCUCCACGCUCAACGUGGAGGGGCCACCUGAUACUGCCAUGACUGGAGUCCGGUAGAGGAGUGUGGAAUUCCCGGUGUAGCGGUGAAAUGCGCAGAUAUCAGGAGGAACACCAAUGGCGAAGGCAGCACUCUGGGACGUGACUGACGCUGAGACGCGAAAGCGUGGGGAGCAAACAGG